rnacentral:rRNA from 1 species
CCUACGGGAGGCAGCAGUAGGGAAUUUUCGUCAAUGGGCGCAAGCCUGAACGAGCGAUGCCGCGUGGAUGAUGAAGGUUUUCGGAGUGUAAACUCCUUUUGUUAGAGAAGAUAAUGACGGUAUCUAACGAAUAAGCACCGGCUAACUCCGUGCCAGCAGCCGCGGUAAUACGGAGGGUGCAAGCGUUACUCGGAAUCACUGGGCGUAAAGAGCGCGUAGGCGGGAUAGCAAGUCAGAUGUGAAAUCCUAUGGCUCAACCAUAGAACUGCAUUUGAAACUGUUAGUCUAGAGUAUGGGAGAGGUAGGUGGAAUUCUUGGUGUAGGGGUAAAAUGCGUAGAGAUCAAGAGGAAGACUCAUGGCGAAGGCGACCUGCUAGAACAUAACUGACGCUGAUGCGCGAAAGCGUGGGGAGCAAACAGGAUUAGAUACCCCAGUAGUC